AGUAAAGUAAGCCAAUUAAGCUCUUGGGCCCAUACCCCAAGCAUGUAGGUUGAAAUCCUACCUUUGCUA
rnacentral:tRNA from 2 species